ensembl:lncRNA
CUCAAUGUAAAAUAACAAAUUUUGUAUUGUUACUGUUAUCAGCAUUAUUGUAAGUAGAUAAGCUUUACACCUCUCUGUCUUUUGUUUCUUUUUUAAUGGUCUUUGAAAAUGAGAUUACAUGAUCAUAGCAUGUAUGUCUGGGAACUGCAUGUGUCAGACAUUAGCUAUUGCAGCUGUAACAGUCUCAUUGUUUGCAGGAUCUAAAUCCAACACUGUUGGUGGCACAUUUUGUCCUGAGACCGUAGCUAUGAACAUUUUGUUUCCUGGAGAUUUUUAGCCAAUUUAAAAGAACAGACCAAGCUCAAUACCUGACAUUCACAUGGAAUAGUUAGCUUGUAAAAUCUAGGGAAAACGUCAAAUUAGUAUGCCAGCCAUUGUUUUCUUUUACCCGAUGCUACAGACCAAGGAGCGAGAUCCUUUUAAUUGACACAUUUAUAUAACGACUUUGUUUUGUUUUUUUUUCAUAAUUUUGUUUGUGUAUUUGUGAUUGUAUAUUUAAGAUUGUAGCCAAGUUCUGUAUAAGUGUAAUUCUAUUUACUCUUCUCUAGGACCCCUGUGCCCUUCACCCCUUCAUAUGUCAAAAGUAAAGCUGAACCUUUCAUUUCAGAUUGUUUCUAGAUGCAUUAAAGGUACAUCUACCUUUCACCUGAGAAGGUAGAUUAUAGUUUUUAAGUCAAUGUACAAUGUAUUUAUUUUUUUAAAGUCUUUGCCAUUGCAUUAUAUUACGAGACGAUACAUGUUGCUGUGUAUUUGAUGUUGCCUCUGUGCAUUAUUUUACUUAUGUUUUUUUUUUUCAUUAACCUAAGAUGAUAUAUAAAUCCUUGGAUGACUCCAUAAGAGUUCUUAAUAAACUUUGGAUAAUUUAAACAUGAUCCAGAUCAAUAAUUCCAAGACGCCUGUUUGAGGUUCCUGUGUAUUGGGUUUUAAAAACACCAGAGGGCACUCCACUGUAAGGCUUGCACUGAUUUAUAAAAAUGGUCAAAGUCUGUAGUUAAAUGCAACCCUCCUAAGGCAAUUUUUCUUGAAUACAUCACUCAUGAAAUACAGUGUUGUUUCAGGUUCAUUUCUCAAAUCUGCCAUUAAGCAGGUAUGUUCUUUGUUUUCAGAGCCCCUUUGUUUGUCGUUGUUUUACAGAUAUAUUUUUGCCUUGUGUCUGCCAUUGACAACUGAUAUAUGGUACCAAUAAAACACAUUUUCACAAGCU